GAAAAGCCCGAGGAUUUCAGGAGCUCAGCGUUACCCUAACCCUAGCUCGUCCUCGGCGGCGGCGGACGGCGGUGAGAGCCGAUCAGAUCGUCAGGUAGCGAUGCUAGCGCCGGUAGGAGGUGAAGAAUUUUCGGCGAUGCGCUUUCAGUGGGAGAAGACGUAACCGUCGACGACGAAGCGCCUAUGAUGACUUAGUAAAUCUUAAGAUGAUGCCGGCUCAGUCUAUCGAAUAUGCUCAUAAGGAUAGGGUGUGCAUGUGUGCGUUUACAGGAGUGAGUGUAUGUGUGUAUGUAUGAGCGCUUGCGUCUGUACUGUGUUUAAAAAAACACCUAGCCAGCUGCCUAUUUUGCAUCACGGUAGCACGGUGCAACCUUGGUAUAAAACUAUCAAUAGAUCGAGAACUUCGUAAAUCGCUGGGUGGUAACUUUAGAAGGAGAUAUUUCUUUUGUCCAACAUACUCA